rnacentral:rRNA from 1 species
CGAGGGGUAACAGAGAGAAGCUUGCUUCUUUGCUGACGACCGGCGCACGGGUGCGUAACGCGUAUAGAACCUACCCUGUACAGGGGGAUAGCCCAUGGAAACGUGGAUUAAUACCCCGUGGUGAUAUGAAUUGGCAUCGAUUUAUAUUUAAAGCUUUCGGGCGGUACGGGAUGGCUAUGCGUCUUAUUAGUUAGUAGGUGAGGUAACGGCUCACCUAGGCAGCGAUAAGUAGGGGCCCUGAGAGGGGGAUCCCCCACACUGGUACUGAGACACGGACCAGACUCCUACGGGAGGCAGCAGUGAGGAAUAUUGGACAAUGGGCGGAAGCCUGAUCCAGCCAUGCCGCGUGCAGGAAGACGGCCCUACGGGUUGUAAACUGCUUUUAUACAGGAAGAAUAAUCACCACGUGUGGUGAGAUGACGGUACUGUAAGAAUAAGGACCGGCUAACUCCGUGCCAGCAGCCGCGGUAAUACGGAGGGUCCGAGCGUUAUCCGGAAUCAUUGGGUUUAAAGGGUCCGCAGGCGGGCAAUUAAGUCAGGGGUGAAAUGCUGUGGCUCAACCAUAGCACUGCCCUUGAUACUGGUUGUCUUGAGUUGUGGUGAAGUGGCCGGAAUAUGUAGUGUAGCGGUGAAAUGCAUAGAUAUUACAUAGAACACCGAUCGCGAAGGCAGGUCACUAACCACUAACUGACGCUGAUGGACGAAAGCGUGGGGAGCGAACGGGAUUAGAUACCCCGGUAGUCCACGCUGUAAACGAUGGAUACUAGCUGUCGGGUUUUCGGACUCGGUGGCCAAGCGAAAGUGAUAAGUAUCCCACCUGGGGAGUACGUUCGCAAGAAUGAAACUCAAAGGAA